rnacentral:rRNA from 1 species
UACGUAGGGGGCGAGCGUUACCCGGAUUUACUGGGCGUAAAGCGCGUGUAGGCGGCUGGUCAAGCGUGGUGUGAAAUCUCCGGGCUCAACCCGGAAACUGCAUUGCGAACUGACCUAGCUGGAGUGCAGGAGAGGGCAGCGGAAUUCCCGGUGUAGCGGUGAAAUGCGUAGAUAUCGGAAGGAACAUCAGUGGCGAAGGCGACUUCCUGGACCAAUACUGACGCUCAGGUGCGAAAGCGUGGGGAGCGAACAGG